AGGUUUUCCGACGCGUUCGCGAAGUCGGUUCGGCAAUUCGUCGAGCCGUUGUAAAGAUAUUGAAGAAACGGACGAUUUAGCUUCGUUUCCGCGUGGAGGGCCGAGGCGACGUCCAAAAAUUAUGAAAAUGGAUCCUGAGCACCGUAGCACAUAAUCGAAGACCUAUAAUUUUCGGAGCUGCGAAGUGGUGCACGGUUGGUGCGCAAUUGCGAGUUCGGGACGAGUCGGAUAGCGGGUGCCGCGGGCGGCCGAUUGCAAGUGACUACAAGCAAUCGGAGAGUGAAUCGAGGUGGGUUGUGCUCACCGAAACGACUAGGUCGCC
rnacentral:lncRNA from 1 species